rnacentral:SRP_RNA from 1 species
GCUCCUUCUUAGACCUGUGCAAUGCUUUUUAUGAGCACCGCUUCAGGGUGGGAACACAGCAGAGCACUUGUAUUAAGUGUGUGCCGCAGUCAUCUGAGAGGGGGUCUUUCU